rnacentral:rRNA from 1 species
CCUACGGGAGGCAGCAGUGGGGAAUAUUGGUCAAUGGAGGAAACUCUGAACCAGCAACGCCGCGUGAAUGAUGAAGGUCUUCGGAUUGUAAAGUUCUUUUCUAAGGGAAGAAGAAAGUGACGGUACCUUAGGAAUAAGCCUCGGCUAACUACGUGCCAGCAGCCGCGGUAAUACGUAGGAGGCGAGCGUUAUCCGGAAUGACUGGGUGUAAAGGGAGCGUAGACGGCGCGGCAAGUCUGAAGUGAAAGGCAGGGGCUUAACCCCUGAACUGCUUUGGAAACUGCCAUGCUAGAGUGCUGGAGAGGUAAGUGGAAUUCCUAGUGUAGCGGUGAAAUGCGUAGAUAUUAGGAGGAACACCAGUGGCGAAGGCGGCUUACUGGACAGUAACUGACGUUGAGGCUCGAAAGCGUGGGGAGCAAACAGGAUUAGAUACCCGUGUAGUC